ACAGGUGAUAAAGGGGCAGAACCGCGAGUCUACUACCAGAUCUAGGAGGCAAGCAACUCCUUGUAAGAUGGAUAAGAGGAUCAAGAUUGUUAUUUGUGUUGCAGCUGCAUAUAUGUUGUUGUCAAUGAUGGCUGUGAUUAUUCAAUCUAGAAAACGAAAACGGUGUGGAAGGAGGGUGGGUAUUACCUAUGGGCCUAUGGAGCAAAGGGAUAGGAUGAGAUUAGAGUAUCUAAAUGACAAAAUUUGGAAGGAUGACACAACUUGCUUGAACAUGCUAAGACUUAAUAGAUCUAAGUUCUUUCGGUUUUGCAAUUUUUUUAGAGAGCGUGGUUUUCUAAAGGAUACAUGUCACUUGUGUGUUGAGCAACAAGUGGGUAUGUUUCUAAAUACAGUGGGACAUAACCUUAGGAAUAGGUUAGUUGGAACUAAUUUUGAUAGAUCCGGAGAAACAGUUAGCCGCUAUUUCAACAAAGUACUCCAUGCUAUUGGUGAGCUGCGAGGGGAACUAAUUAGGCCCCCAUCUUUGGACACUCCAAGCAAAAUAGCAGGGAACAACAGAUGGGAUCCUUACUUUAAGGAUUGUAUUGGAGCUAUUGAUGGUACUCAUGUAAGAGCAUCUGUUCCAAAUAAUAUUGAGCAUGCCUUUCGUGGUAGGAAAUCAUUUUGCACAUAGAAUGUAAUGGCCGCUGUAGAUUUUGAUCUACGAUUCACCUAUGUGUUGGCUGGUUGGGAAGGUACUGCACAUGAUGCUCUCGUUUUACGAGAUGCUUUAGAACGUGAGAAUGGACUUCGUGUUCCACAAGGAAAAUUCUACCUAGUCGAUGCGGGAUAUGGAGCCAAACCAGGAUUUUUGCCCCCCUUUCGUGGUGUUCGAUAUCACUUAAAUGAAUGGGGAAGUAAUCCAGUGCAAAACGAGAAGGAACUUUUCAGCCUUAGGCACUCAUCCCUACGUGUCACAGUAGAGAGGGCAUUUGGGGCACUAAAGAGGAGAUUCAAAAUUCUUGAUGAUGCUACUCCAUUGUUCCCUUUUGCAACACAAGUUGAUAUUGUUUGUGCUUGCUGCAUUAUUCACAAUUGGGUCAUACAAGAUGGGCAUGACGAGUUCUUUACAGAGGAGAGUAACUAUCCAAGCUACAACCAUGCUACCACAAGAAUUGGGCAAGCAAAUGAGCAUGCUGCUAUGGUUACUUUUAGGCAACAAAUAGCAGAUCAGAUGUGGGCAGAUCGUCAAUCCAACAAUGUUAACUAAUAUUUUCUUAAGUAAUGUAUUGCUAUUUUUGUGGACAUU